rnacentral:rRNA from 1 species
GUGGGGAAUUUUGGACAAUGGGCGCAAGCCUGAUCCAGCAAUGCCGCGUGCAGGAAGAAGGCCUUCGGGUUGUAAACUGCUUUUGUACGGAACGAAACGGUCCGGGUUAAUACCCUGGGCUAAUGACGGUACCGUAAGAAUAAGCACCGGCUAACUACGUGCCAGCAGCCGCGGUAAUACGUAGGGUGCAAGCGUUAAUCGGAAUUACUGGGCGUAAAGCGUGCGCAGGCGGUUUUGUAAGACAGGCGUGAAAUCCCCGGGCUCAACCUGGGAAUUGCGCUUGUGACUGCAAGGCUGGAGUGCGGCAGAGGGGGAUGGAAUUCCGCGUGUAGCAGUGAAAUACGUAGAUAUGCGGAGGAACACCGAUGGCGAAGGCAAUCCCCUGGGCCUGCACUGACGCUCAUGCACGAAAGCGUGGGGAGCAAACAGGAUUAGAUACCCGAGUAGUCC